rnacentral:rRNA from 1 species
UACAGAGGUCUCAAGCGUUGUUCGGAUUCAUUGGGCGUAAAGGGUGCGUAGGCGGCGUGGUAAGUCGGAUGUGAAAUCUCGGAGCUUAACUCCGAAACUGCAUUCGAUACUGCCGUGCUUGAGGACUGGAGAGGAGACUGGAAUUUACGGUGUAGCGGUGAAAUGCGUAGAUAUCGUAAGGAAGACCAGUGGCGAAGGCGGAUCUCUGGACAGUUCCUGACGCUGAGGCACGAAGGCCAGGGGAGCAAACGGG